AGCUUUGCGCAGUGGCAGUAUCGUAGCCAAUGAGGUUUAUCCGAGGCGCGAUUAUUGCUAAUUGAAAAUUAACCAGUCUAUCUAAGUCGUGUGUGUCUGUGUGUGUGUGUGUUUUAAUAAAAACAAAUACUCUAGCCCUAGAAUUAUGUGUCUACUUCUACUUGU
rnacentral:snRNA from 1 species